UUCCUCCUUUUAUAGCCUCCCCAGCGCCCCACUUUCCCUCACAUGGAUAAGAUCUUCCGAAUGGGAAGUAAGGGUGGGGAAGCGGUGGACGCGGGAUGAAGAUAGAGCUGAUCCGAGAGUUGGGAAGAAGAUUUGCUGGGAACUCGGACUCUGUUCGGCAUAUGUUCUUCUUCAACGUGGAGGAGACGUGGACGACUGGGAUCUCGGAUCGGAAUGGGCUGAAGUCGGCUUGAUCCUUGGCUGCAGGGACUGGCGAGAACGUUGAGAGGAUCUCGGAUCUGUUCCAAAGCAUGGGAAGACUGUGAGGAUAGGCGUGGGAAGUUUGCUGAGAUUCGAGUUUAUCCCGUGAGAGAAUGCUCUGUUCCGUGAAGCUCGGGAGGAUGAAGCCGAAUCGUGGGAUGAUUGCGGACGAAAUUUGGGAUCAAUGGCUCUGUUUUGAAGCUAAAACAGGGGAUGCGGAAGCUAAGAACGUGGGUUAAGGAUGCUAGAUGAGAUUGAAGGAAGGCUGAGAUCUGAUUUUUGGGAUGCUGCGGAUGGUUGGAUGCGGCUGGGAGGAAAUCCGGAUGGAGUCUGGAUUCGGUUGAGGACGUGGAUGAACAUAAAAGUUUGUUUGCUUGGCAUGCAUUGCGGGAGAAGCUGUUCCGUGGGAUAUUGGGACUUGAUUCCGAAACAGGGGAAAAACUUGGAUUCGGUUAACAGUUUAGAUGAAGCUUCCGUGAAGCUUGGGAACGGCUGGCCAUGCGUGAAACAGGGGAGAAGAUCACAUACGGGUCUGUUCCUUGGGAUAA
rnacentral:lncRNA from 1 species